UACGUAGGGUGCAAGCGUUGUCCGGAUUUAUUGGGUUUAAAGGGUGCGUAGGCGGCCCAUUAAGUCAGCGGUGAAAGCCCGGGGCUCAACCCCGGAACCGCCGUUGAUACUGGUGGGCUUGAGUAUGGACGAGGUUGGCGGAAUUGAGGGUGUAGCGGUGAAAUGCUUAGAUACCCUCAAGAACACCGAUUGCGUAGGCAGCUAACUAGGCCAUAACUGACGCUGAGGCACGAAAGCGUGGGGAGCGAACAGG
rnacentral:rRNA from 1 species